rnacentral:rRNA from 1 species
UGGGGAAUAUUGGACAAUGGGCGCAAGCCUGAUCCAGCCAUGCCGCGUGAGUGAUGAAUGCCCUAGGGUUGUAAAGCUCUUUCACCGGUGAAGAUAAUGACGGUAACCGGAGAAGAAGCCCCGGCUAACUUCGUGCCAGCAGCCGCGGUAAUACGAAGGGGGCUAGCGUUGUUCGGAUUUACUGGGCGUAAAGCGCACGUAGGCGGACUUUUAAGUCAGGGGUGAAAUCCCGGGGCUCAACCCCGGAACUGCCUUUGAUACUGGAAGUCGUGAGUAUGGUAGGGGUGAGUGGAAUUCCGAGUGUAGAGGUGAAAUUCGUAGAUAUUCGGGGGAACACCAGUGGCGAAGGCGGCUCACUGGACCAUUACUGACGCUGAGAUGCGAAAGCGUGGGGAGCAAACGGG